GACAGAGGGGGCAAGCGUUGCUCGGAAUCACUGGGCGUAAAGGGCGCGUAGGCGGGAUGGCAAGUCGGUCGUGAAAUCCCUGGGCUCAACUCAGGGGGGUCGGCCGAUACUGCCGUUCUUGAGGGAUGCAGAGGAGACUGGAAUUCCCGGUGUAGCGGUGAAAUGCGUAGAUAUCAGGAGGAACACCGGUGGUGUAGACGGCUUUCUGGACCAUAACUGACGCUGAGACACGAAAGCGUGGGUAGCAAACAGG
rnacentral:rRNA from 1 species